UAUUGGUCAAUAGCUUAACGGCUGAACCAGCAACUUGGAGGAAUGAAGAGGGAAAACUGGUAAAAGGUGAUGUACCUACAAGUAUUAGAAAUUAAUAUGAGAUUAACUAAGUUAAUUAAAAUUCUGAGCAGAUAUUUGAUUAUGACACUAUCUGUAUAGGUCUUGACCAAGUCACGUGCCAGCAGUCGCGGUAAUACGUGGAAGACAAGUGUUAUUCAUCUUUAUUGGGUUUAAAGGGUACCUAGACGGUUAAUUAAACAAUUAAAUGUACUAAUUAACUAGAGUUUAAUGUAAGAAAGUUGAGUACUGUUAGAGUAGAGAUAAAAUUCUAGGAUACUAUCAGGAACUGGUAAGAGCGAAGGCUACUUUCAAUGUAAAAACUGACGUUGAAGGACGAAGGA
rnacentral:rRNA from 1 species